rnacentral:rRNA from 1 species
AGUAACUCUAGAGCUAAUACAUGCAUCAAUCCCUGACUUCCUGGAAGGGGUGUACUUAUUAGAUGGAAACCAGUGCGGGUUCGCCCGGAUUAUGGUGAUUCAUAAUAAUUUUCGGAUCGAUCAAUUGAUCGAUGCAUCAUUCAAGUUUCUGCCCUAUCAGCUUUGGAUGGUAGGGUAUUGGCCUACCAUGGCAUUAACGGGUAACGGAGAAUUAGGGUUCGAUUCCGGAGAGGGCGCCUGAGAAACGGCGACCAGUUCCAAGGAAGGCAGCAGGCGCGUAAAUUACCCAAUCCUGACACAGGGAGGUAGUGACAAUAAAUAACAAUGUCGGGCCUUCGGGUUUGACAAUUGGAAUGAGAACAAUUUAAAUCCCUUAUCGAGGAUCAAUUGGAGGGCAAGUCUGGUGCCAGCAGCCGCGGUAAUUCCAGCUCCAAUAGCGUAUACUAAAGUUGUUGCAGUUAAAAAGCUCGUAGUUGAAUUUCUGGUUUCGGAGUGCGGUCUGCCCCGUGGGGUAAGUAUCAGCGCUCGGGAGCCAUCCUUGAGGAGAACAUGCCUGUGAUUGAGUUCAUGGGUAUGGGAGCCUCGUCUUUUACUGUGAGCAAACUAGAGUGUUCAAAGCAGGCUUACGCCGUUGAAUACAUUAGCAUGGAAUAAUAAAAUAGGACUCUGGUCUAUUUUGUUGGUUAGUACUCCAGGGUAAUGAUUAAUAGGGACAGUUGGGGGUAUUCGUAUUC